rnacentral:rRNA from 1 species
UCCAAGGCUAAAUACUCUCUAAUGACCGAUAGUGAACAAGUACCGUGAGGGAAAGGCGAAAAGAACCCCGGGAGGGGAGUGAAAUAGAACCUGAAAUCAUAUGCAUACAAGCAGUAGGAGCAGAUUUAUUCUGUGACUGCGUACCUUUUGUAUAAUGGGUCAGCGACUUACUUCUCAGUAGCAAGGUUAACCAAAUAGGGGAGCCGUAGGGAAACCGAGUCUUAAAUGGGCGUUUAGUUGCUGGGAGUAGACCCGAAACCGGGUGAUCUAUCCAUGGCCAGGGUGAAGGUUAGGUAAAACUAACUGGAGGCCCGAACCCACUUAUGUUGAAAAAUGAGGGGAUGAGCUGUGGAUAGGGGUGAAAGGCCAAACAAACCCGGAGAUAGCUGGUUCUCUCCGAAAUCUAUUUAGGUAGAGCCUCAUGUAUUACUGUCGGGGGUAGAGCACUGUUAUGGUUAGCGGGUCGUCAAGGCUUAGUAAGCCAUUGCAAACUCCGAAUACCGACAAGUAUGAGCAUGGGAGACACACUGCGGGUGCUAACGUCCGUAGUGGAAAGGGAAACAACCCAGACCGUCAGCUAAGGUCCCAAAAUUGUAGUUAAGUGGGAAACGAUGUGAAAAGGCUAAGACAGCCAGGAAGUUGGCUUAGAAGCAGCCAUUCCUUUAAAGAGUGCGUAAUAGCUCACUGGUCGAGUCGGUUUGCGCGGAAGAUUUAACGGGGCUAAAACUACAUACCGAAGCUACGGAUUGCAAUUUAUUGCAAUGGUAGGAGAGCGUUCUGUAAGCCGUUGAAGGUAAACUGUAAGGUUUACUGGAGGUAUCAGAAGUGCGAAUGCUGACAUGAGUAACGAUAAAGGGGGUGAAAAACCCCCUCGCCAGAAGUCCAAGGUUUCCUACGCAACGUUAAUCGGCGUAGGGUUAGUCGGCCCCUAAGGCGAGGCAGAAAUGCGUAGUCGAUGGGAAAUAGGUUAAUAUUCCUAUACUUCAUAUAACUGCGAUGGGAAGACGGAGAAGGUUAGCGCAGCUUGGCUAUGGUUGUCCAAGUUCAAGCGUGUAGAAAUGAGUUUUAGGAAAAUCCGGAACUCUAUAUUUUAAGGCGUGAUAACGAUCCCUCUUUUGGGAGAAGUGCGUAAUACCAUGCUUCCAGGAAAAUCCUCUAAGCUUCAGGUUAUAUGAAACCGUACCCCAAACCGACACAGGUGGACGAGAUGAGAAUUCUAAGGCGCUUGAGAGAACUCGGGUGAAGGAACUAGGCAAAAUGACACCGUAACUUCGGGAGAAGGUGUGCUCUUGCCGGUAAUUUUACUUGCUGAAUGAAGCUGGUAAGAGUUGAAGAUACCAGGUGGCUCCGACUGUUUAUUAAAAACACAGCACUCUGCAAACACGUAAGUGGACGUAUAGGGUGUGACGCCUGCCCGGUGCUUGAAGGUUAAUUGAUGAGGUUAGGAUUUAUCCGAAGCUUUUGAUCGAAGCCCAAGUAAACGGCGGCCGUAACUAUAACGGUCCUAAGGUAGCGAAAUUCCUUGUCGGGUAAGUUCCGACCUGCACGAAUGGCGUAACGAGGGCUACACUGUCUCUACCCGAGACUCAGUGAAAUUGAAAUUGCUGUUAAGAUGCAGUAUACCCGCGGCCAGACGGAAAGACCCCGUGCACCUUUACUACAGCUUUGCAUUGAAUUUUGAUUCUACUUGUGUAGGAUAGGUGGUAGGCUUUGAAAUUUAGACGCUAGUCUGAGUGGAGCCAUCCUUGAAAUACCACCCUAGUAUGGUUAGAAUUCUAACCUAGGUCCAUUAUCUGGAUCAGGGACAAUGCAUGGUGGG